CGUUUGAUGAAUUCAUAGUCAAACGAGGCGAACCGGGGAAACUGAAACAUCCAGUACCCCGAGAAAAAGAAAUCAACCGAGAUUCCCCCAGUAGCGGCGAGCGAACGGGGAGCAGCCCAGAGUCAACAUCAAUAUUUACCACAGGAGAAGGGUCUGGAAAAGCCGGCAAUAAAGGGUGAUAGCCCCGUAUCUAAAGCGGUAAGUGUUGUGAACUCGAAGAGUAGGGCGGGACACGUGUUAUCCUGUCUGAAUAUGGGGGGACCAUCCUCCAAGGCUAAAUACUCCUGACUGACCGAUAGUGAACCAGUACCGUGAGGGAAAGGCGAAAAGAACCCCGGCGAGGGGAGUGAAAUAGAACCUAAAACCGUGUACGUACAAGCAGUAGGAGCACCCGAAAGGGUGUGACUGCGUACCUUUUGUAUAAUGAGUCAGCGACUUAUAUUCUGUAGCAAGGUUAACCGCAUAGGGGAGCCGUAGGGAAACCGAGUCUUAACUGGGCGUUAAGUUGCAGGGUAUAGACCCGAAACCCGGUGAUCUAGCCAUAUCGUGGCUGCCGGUUGGGUAACACUAACUGGAGGACC
rnacentral:rRNA from 1 species